GUGCUCGCUUGGAUAGCACAUCCACUAAAAUAGCAAUGAUACAGAGAAGAUUAGCAUGGCCCCUGCUCAAGGUUGACAUGCAAAUUCAUGAAACAUUUCAUAUGUUA
rnacentral:snRNA from 1 species